AUUGAACGCUGGCGGCAUGCUUUACACAUGCAAGUCGGACGAGUGGCGAACGGGUGAGUAAUAUAUCGGAACGUACCGAGUAAUGGGGGAUAACUAAUCGAAAGAUUAGCUAAUACCGCAUAUUAUUCGAGCGGCCGAUAUCUGAUUAGCUAGUUGGUGGGGUAAAGGCCUACCAAGGCGACGAUCAGUAGCGGGUCUGAGAGGAUGAUCCGCCACACUGGGACUGAGACACGGCCCAGACUCCUACGGGAGGCAGCAGUGGGGAAUUUUGGACAAUGGGCGCAAGCCUGAUCCAGCCAUGCCGCGUGUCUGAAGAAGGCCUUCGGGUUGUAAAGGACUUUUGGUGACGAGGCGUUAAUCACAGAAGAAGCACCGGCUAACUCCGUGCCAGCAGCCGCGGUACUAC
rnacentral:rRNA from 1 species